rnacentral:lncRNA from 1 species
GAUAUAUAGCAGAAAUUCAAUUGUUCCCCUUGAAUUUCAUAAACAUAAACUACUAAAAUAAUAUAAUGAAGAUAAAUUAUUGACACCAAUAAAUAAAUACAUCAAAUAAUUUUUAUUUGUUUUAUCACUCUAAUAUUCAACCCUAGAAAAUAUAUUCUUCUGGUGAAGGAAGAAAACUUGGAUUUGCCAAAAGUAAGUCUUCAAGAAGAAUCUACUUUGUUGUCUUCAUAGAAGAUGACAAAUUUUUUUAGAGGUUCCAAAUGGGGUUACAACAUCAAAACAUCUAUCUUUAUUCUUUUUCAUUGAAUGACCAAAUGCAAUGACAUUUUUGGUUCUCCUUUUCUUUUCCAACACCUUCAUCGUCUUCCUAUUGAAGUUCUUCAAUUGCAUUUCUUGAUCUAACUUUUAGUUUAGCUAGAGGUAAAUGAUUGAAGGGUGGUCCUGUAGAGGUCUCCAAAAGCUAACCGUCGAAUAUAUUUUUUCUUA